AUUGAACGCUGGCGGCAGGCCUAACACAUGCAAGUCGAGCGGAUGAAGGGAGCUUGCUCCUGGAUUCAGCGGCGGACGGGUGAGUAAUGCCUAGGAAUCUGCCUGGUAGUGGGGGAUAACGUCCGGAAACGGGCGCUAAUACCGCAUACGUCCUGAGGGAGAAAGUGGGGGACCUUCGGACCUCACGCUAUCAGAUGAGCCUAGGUCGGAUUAGCUAGUUGGUGGGGUAAAGGCCUACCAAGGCGACGAUCCGUAACUGGUCUGAGAGGAUGAUCAGUCACACUGGAACUGAGACACGGUCCAGACUCCUACGGGAGGCAGCAGUGGGGAAUAUUGGACAAUGGGCGAAAGCCUGAUCCAGCCAUGCCGCGUGUGUGAAGAAGGUCUUCGGAUUGUAAAGCACUUUAAGUUGGGAGGAAGGGCAGUAAGUUAAUACCUUGCUGUUCUGACGUUACCAACAGAAUAAGCACCGGCUAACUUCGUG
rnacentral:rRNA from 1 species